rnacentral:rRNA from 1 species
UACAGAGGGGGCAAGCGUUAUUCGGAAUUAUUGGGCGUAAGGGGCGCGUAGGCGGCCUGGCAAGUGGAAGGUGAAAUCCCUCGGCUUAACCGAGGAACUGCCCUCCAAACUGCUUGGCUUGAGUCCGGGAGAGGUGAGUGGAAUUCCCAGUGUAGCGGUGAAAUGCGUAGAUAUUGGGAGGAACACCAGUGGCGAAGGCGGCUCACUGGACCGGAACUGACGCUGAGGCGCGAAAGCGUGGGGAGCAAACGGG